UUGAAGAAACAAUGGAGAUGAGUAAGAAUAAUUAAAUGGUUUAAUUAUUUGUGGCAAUGAUUAAUUAAUAUGUUAAUUAAUCAAACGAAUAAGUUCGUUAAAGACCUCGGGAUAGUUUUGGGCCUCAAGACCCAAUGGGCUUCAAACGUCAAGCCCAUUGACUUAAGUUGUAUGACAACUUAAUGACAAAUAAUUCACAAAGGCCUUAAAAGCCCA
rnacentral:lncRNA from 1 species